rnacentral:rRNA from 1 species
GACGAACGCUGGCGGCGUGCUUAACACAUGCAAGUCGAGCGGAAAGGCCCUUCGGGGUACUCGAGCGGCGAACGGGUGAGUAACACGUGAGUAACCUACCUCGAACUCUGGGAUAAGCCUGGGAAACUGGGUCUAAUACCGGAUGUUCAUCUCCUGCUGCAUGGUGGGGGAUGGAAAGUGUUUAGCGGUUCGGGAUGGGCUCGCGGCCUAUCAGCUUGUUGGUGAGGUAAUGGCUUACCAAGGCUUUUACGGGUAGCCGGCCUGAGAGGGCGACCGGCCACACUGGGACUGAGAUACGGCCCAGACUCCUACGGGAGGCAGCAGUGGGGAAUAUUGCGCAAUGGGCGGAAGCCUGACGCAGCAACGCCGUGUGAGGGAUGACGGCCUUCGGGUUGUAAACCUCUUUCACCAGGGACGAAGCUUUUGUGACGGUACCUGGGGAAGAAGCGCCGGCCAACUACGUGCCAGCAGCCGCGGUAAUACGUAGGGCGCAAGCGUUGUCCGGAAUCAUUGGGCGUAAAGAGCUCGUAGGCGGUUUGUCGCGUCUGUCGUGAAAGCCCACGGCUUAACCGUGGGUCUGCGGUGGAUACGGGCAGACUAGAGGCAGGUAGGGGAGAAUGGAAUUCCCGGUGUAGCGGUGAAAUGCGCAGAUAUCGGGAGGAACACCGGUGGCGAAGGCGGUUCUCUGGGCCUGUACUGACGCUGAGGAGCGAAAGCGUGGGGAGCGAACAGGAUUAGAUACCCUGGUAGUCCACGCCGUAAACGUUGGGCGCUAGGUGUGGGGUCCUUCCACGGAUUCCGCGCCGUAGCUAACGCAUUAAGCGCCCCGCCUGGGGAGUACGGCCGCAAGGCUAAAACUCAAAGGAAUUGACGGGGGCCCGCACAAGCGGCGGAGCAUGUUGCUUAAUUCGACGCAACGCGAAGAACCUUACCAAGGCUUGACAUCGCCGGAAAUCCAUCAGAGAUGGUGGGUCCUUUUUGGGCCGGUGACAGGUGGUGCAUGGCUGUCGUCACCUCGUGUCGUGAGAUGUUGGGUUAAGUCCCGCAACGAGCGCAACCCUCGUUCCAUGUUGCCAGCACGUUAUGGUGGGGACUCAUGGGAGACCGCCGGGGUCAACUCGGAGGAAGGUGGGGACGACGUCAAGUCAUCAUGGCCCUUACGUCCGGGGCUACACACGUGCUACAAUGGGCAGUACAGCGGGUUGCUACCUAGCAAUAGGAUGCUAAUCUCUAAAAGCUGUCCACAGUUCGGAUCGGGGCCUGCAACUCGGCCCCGUGAAGCUGGAUUCGCUAGUAAUCGCGUAUCAGCAAUGACGCGGUGAAUACGUUCCCGGGCCUUGCACACACCG